CACUCGGUCAGCUUCUCCUUAUAAAAAAGAUCACCCCUCUACCCUUCGAUGCUUCCAUGGUUGGUCUAGGGUUUCUCCGGUUGUGUAUACUGUUCUGUGGUUGGUGGUGAGUCUGGUGACUGAGCUCUGGAGGGUGUUUGUGACCUCGGUUACCCCUUUUGGGUUCUGGCGGAGGGGUGUGGAGGACUGUGGUUGUGUAGGGUCUUGAGGGGGUGGAAGAACUUAGAUUUGGCAUUUUGGGGUUAUGGGGUGGAGCUCCUUCAAGUCCAAUAUUGGUUCUUUCUGGUUAGAUAGAGCUGCUGAAUUAUGGAUUCCACAGCCCUAUAUCAUGCUUGGAGGGAUUUGGAUAGGUUUGUGGUUUGCAUAUUUCAGGAGCUGCAUUAUCCAGAUGAGAACCUUGUUUGGAUUGAAGGGAGCUCUACAUCAUCAUCUCUGAUACCUCUUCUGUUUAUCUAUUUGAUUGUUAACUUUUUUCCUGCCUUUUAUCUAUACGCAGUUCUAGCGAAAACAAAUUCUUUCAUCACAGUAGGAUUUUAAUCUCAUAAUGUUUUGUUUUUCUUUUUUGUCCGUCAUAUUUUCCUGUAAUUCUGAUCUUCUUUUCAUGGAAUUUAGCCUCAUUAAUCGAUCUUUCGAGAAAGUCUUGACUUGCAGGAUGUAUCAAGAACUUGUAUAACAUGAAGCAAACGCCAACUGGUCGAAAAGAAACUUUUCAAGUAUCUAUGCUUUGAAUCCAGGUAACGGGGACUGUCCGGUUUUCUUCUUGUGAAAGUUGAGGUGCAAUCCUGAAAGAUCUUGCACAAAAUCGCAAUCAAAAUAAUGUACCAAAAUCUUGGGGAAGUUUAGGCAAUUAACUGUUCAAUUUAUUCUUGUAGAUGAGAAAAAUAUUCAAGGUUGGAAAAAGUGUAGAUAUGAUUCAUGAUAGACUGCGUUAUGUUUCUCUGAUUUUCUUCCAUUUUGCUUUUGGAUGUUCGUGGCCUUGCGCUAGUCAUUGUAAACUAUGUUACAACCUCGAUCGUCGAAAGAUUUGUGGUGCAACUAGUCAAACCCGAUGAUCUACUUUUAUCCUUGAUUGUUCCGAUUCUCUGGAAACCUCUUCUGGGUUUGGUGGUGUUUGGAUUCCAUAUUUGGUGUUUUCUGUUUCUGAACCUGCCAUCGAAACAUUACAAAGGUCUGCAAUUGUACUGCUUUUCUGGGUCUGUUGAAACGGUGAGUCGCAAAUGGGUCUGGUCUGAAUUGACCGAGUUUAACAGGCUUGAGUUGUUAAACUGCCCGGUUAUGGCCUGGAAGGAUUUGGAAUUUUGUGCAGUCCAUUAAAAGACUUGCUGCAUAAUCUGUACAUUCCGACAAUUAAAGACCCCACCUUCUCAAUACUACGCACAAAGAGGGGGCCGAUCAGACGAGGCAGUUGAGAGCUUGAGCCAAAAGCUGUUGUACCACCAUUGCCCAAUUUCACUUGUUAAAAGACGACGGACUCGCGAGUCGCAAUUUCCUGUAGCUAGCUGAGAAAGCUCCUGUAUCUGCGUGUACCAAUAUCCUGGAGCAUAGUGUGUUUUGUGAUGAUAAGCUGCUAGCCUUGUAUUUGGAAUUUUGUGCAGUCCAUUUAAAGACUUGCUGCAUAGUCUUUACAUUCCGACAAUUAAAGACCCCACCUUCUCAAUACUACGCACUAAGAGGGGGCCGAUCAGACGAGGCAGUCGAGAACUUGAGCCAAAAGCUGUUGUACCACCAUUGCCCAAUUUCACUUGUUAAAGACGACUGACUCGCGAGUCGCAAUUUCCUGUAGCUAGCUGAGAAAGCUCUUGUAUCUGCGUGUACCAAUAUCCUGGAACAUAGUGUGUUUUGUGAUGAUAAGCUGCUAGCCUUGUAUCUGAGUUUUAGUUCUGUGGAUCUGAAAGAAGCGACGAACUAAAAACGAUUAUCCUGAGAUUCCUAAUUUUUAGCCCUUGAUGAUGGACAUGUGAUGAAUCUGAUGCGUAGUGUAUCCUCUUACUUUAAGUUCUCACCAACCAUUUAAAAAUUUUUCUGUGUUUUUCUUGGGGUGAUUAAACAAUGUGUUGGGGAACCUGUGUGGCUCCACGUUUCGGUUCUGCAUCUUCCUUUUAAGGACUUGAACCACCGACCACAAGUCUCGUCCUUGUUGGGGUAAUCAAACAAUAGGGACUCGUUCCAUACGAAAGUACGUUCUGUUGUGGAGUGCAACUAGAAAAACCAUAUAGUGUUGACUCCAGAGUCGAGAUGUAAUUGCUUCGUGCUGUGGGGAUGAAAUCGGAUUUGGUGCUCACAAACGAGUGAUAAUAUGUAGUUGCUCGUUUUUGGCUUCUUUUGAAUAAUGUGGAUCCUGACAUUCCAAUUUGUUAGACGAGAGGGUGAGGUUAUAGCUCAAGGUUCUGGUCUGCUAGAUGUGGUUUUGUUGAGUUUGGAAUUUAGAUGCAAUUGCUAAUCGACAGCCUUAGGCUGUGUUUGUGUCGCGGUGUAAAAAUGCACUUGCUGGAGUUGAGUGACGAUGGUAGGACUUUGCGAGGGAAAAUUCGUGCGCAUUUAGGCUGUGUGUUUGUUCCUUUGUGGUGUAGAACGUUAUUGGUAUAAAACGUCACCAUUGGUUCGGUUUUGUCAGUGAUUGGAUGGAGGCUUGGUUUAUAUUGUAAAUCCAUGUAAAAUGUCAUUUGUAGUAAAGUUUUACAUUGAUUAGUCACA